GAGACAGCAGCAGCCGCGGUAAUACGGAGGGUGCAAGCGUUAAUCGGAAUUACUGGGCGUAAAGCGCACGCAGGCGGUCUGACAAGUCAGAUGUGAAAUCCCCGGGCUUAACCUGGGAACUGCAUUUGAAACUGUCAGGCUGGAGUCUUGUAGAGGGGGGUGGAAUUCCAGGUGUAGCGGUGAAAUGCGUAGAGAUCUGGAGGAAUACCGGUGGCGAAGGCGGCCCCCUGGACAAAGACUGACGCUCAGGUGCGAAAGCGUGGGGAGCAAACAGGAUUAGAUACCCCGGUAGUCCCUGUCUCUUAUAC
rnacentral:rRNA from 1 species